GUGGGGAAUAUUGGACAAUGGGCGAAAGCCUGAUCCAGCCAUGCCGCGUGUGUGAAGAAGGUCUUCGGAUUGUAAAGCACUUUAAGUUGGGAGGAAGGGCAGUAAGUUAAUACCUUGCUGUUUUGACGUUACCAACAGAAUAAGCACCGGCUAACUUCGUGCCAGCAGCCGCGGUAAUACGAAGGGUGCAAGCGUUAAUCGGAAUUACUGGGCGUAAAGCGCGCGUAGGUGGUUCAGCAAGUUGAAGGUGAAAUCCCCGGGCUCAACCUGGGAACUGCCGCCAAAACUACUGAGCUAGAGUACGGUAGAGGGUAGUGGAAUUUCCUGUGUAGCGGUGAAAUGCGUAGAUAUAGGAAGGAACACCAGUGGCGAAGGCGACUACCUGGACUGAUACUGACACUGAGGUGCGAAAGCGUGGGGAGCAAACAGGAUUAGAUACCCUUGUAGUCC
rnacentral:rRNA from 1 species